rnacentral:tRNA from 1 species
GGCUUCCUAGCUCAAUGGCUCAGAGCAUCAGACUUCUAAUCUGAAGGUUGUGGGUUCGAGUCCCACGGAGGUCG